rnacentral:rRNA from 1 species
UACGUAGGAUGCAAGCGUUGUCCGGAAUUAUUGGGCGUAAAGAGCGCGCAGGCGGUAACUCAAGUCAGAUGUGAAAUAUCCGGGCUUAACCCGGAGGGGUCAUUUGAAACUGAGUAACUAGAGUACAGCAGAGGAUAGCGGAAUUCCCGGUGUAGCAGUGAAAUGCGUGGAGAUCGGGAGGAACACCAGUGGCGAAGGCGGCUACCUGGACCAGCACUGACACUGAAGCACGAAAGCGUGGGGAGCAAACAGG